rfam:Loxodonta africana unplaced genomic scaffold scaffold_21, whole genome shotgun sequence.
GCAUUGGUGGUUCAGUGGUAGAACUCCUGCCUUCCAUGGGGGAGACCCAGGUUCAACUGCCGACCAGUGUA